rnacentral:rRNA from 1 species
AGAUAAGAUAUGUAGAGCAGAAGGUGGAUGCCUUGGCAACGGACGGCGAUGAAGGACGUAGUAAGUUGCGAUAAGCCUCGGGGAGUCGCUUAACAGGCUUUGAUCCGGGGAUUUCCGAAUGGGAAAACCUGACCGAGCAAACCUUGGUCAUGCCAUUGUGAAUAUAUAGCAAUGGUAGGCUAACGGGGGGAAGUGAAACAUCUCAGUACCCCCAGGAAAAGAAAUCAACCGAGAUUCCCCUAGUAGCGGCGAGCGAACGGGGAACAGCCUAAACCGAAGAGAUUUUCUCUUCGGGGUUGCGGGACCUCAGCAUGGGACUUUGAAGGGUAGCAGAACAGUCUGGAAAGUCUUGCCACAGAAGGUGAUAGCCCUGUAUGCGAAACCCCGAGAAGCCCUAGAGGGAUCCCAAGUACUCCGGCACACGUGGAAUGUUGGAGGAAUCUGGGUGGACCACCAUCCAAGGCUAAAUACGUGCCGUUGACCGAUAGUGAACCAGUACCGUGAGGGAAAGGUGAAAAGAACCCCAAUGAGGGGAGUGAAAUAGAAUCUGAAACCAUCUGCUUGUAACCAGUGGAAGGGCUAUGUCCAUUUAUGGAAAUGCCUGACCGCGUGCCUUUUGCCUAAUGAGCCUGCGAGUUAUCUUCAGUGGCCUGAUUAAGCCGUACAGGUGUAGUCGUAGCGAAAGCGAGUCUGAAUAGGGCGCCAGUCACUGGGGAUAGACCCGAAGCGAAUCGAUCUAUCCAUGGCCAGGGUGAAGCAGAGAGAAAACCUUUGUGGAGGCCCGAACCGGUCAGGGGUGAAAACCUGUCGGAUGAGCUGUGGAUCGGAGUGAAAGGCUAAUCAAGAUUCGUGAUAGCUGGUUCUCCCCGAAAUAUAUUUAGGUAUAGCCUUGUGUGAUGACUAGCGGAGGUAGAGCACUGAUUGGACUAGGGGGUCGAAAGAUCUACCAAACCCAGACAAACUCCGAAUGCCGCUAGGUUAGCACAGGAGUCAGUCGGUGGGAGAUAAGUCCCAUCGGCGAAAGGGAAACAGCCCAGACCGCCGGCUAAGGCCCCUAAAUACGAACUAAGUGGUAAAGGAUGUGAAUUGGCAUAGACAGCCAGUAGGUAGGCCCAGAAGCAGCCACCCUUUAAAGAGUGCGUAACAGCUCACUGGUCGAUGCGAAUUUGCGCCGAAAAUGAAACGGGGCUAAGUUCGUUGCCGAAGCCGCGGGUUGCGUAUUUAUACGCAGCGGUAGGGGAGCGUUCCCAACGGGUCGAAGGGUUACCGUAAGGAAGCCUGGACUGUUGGGAAGUGAGAAUGCAGGCAUGAGUAGCGAUAAAGGUGGUGAGAAUCCACCUCGCCGUAAACCCAAGGUUUCCUGGGCAAGGCUCGUCCUCCCAGGGUAAGUCGGGACCUAAGGCGAGGCCGAAAGGCGUAGUCGAUGGAAAACGGGUUAAUAUUCCCGUACCAUUCGGUCUGAGUGAUGGAGUGACGGAGAAGGAUAGGUCAUCCGGGUGAUGGAUAUCCCGGUUCAAGCUUGUAGGAGGAAAGGACAAGCAAAACCUCCUUUCAUACUCUGAGAAGUGAGUACGAGAGGCACUAGCCUCGUAAAGUGAUUGAGUCCAUGCUUCCAAGAAAAGCUUCUAAACGUUGACGACCGAGUGCCCGUACCGAAACGGACACACGUGGGUGAGUUGAGAAUACUAAGGCGCGUGAGAGAACUUUGGCUAAGGAACUCGGCAAAUUAACCCCGUAACUUCGGAAUAAGGGGUACCCAUAUGUACGUGAAAGCCCUCGCGGCUGGAGCGGAAAUGGGUCGCAGUGAAUUGGCGGUAACGACUGUUUACUAAAAACACAGGGCUCUGCAAACACGCAAGUGGACGUAUAGGGUCUGACUCCUGCCCAGUGCCGGACGGUUAAGGGGAUGGGUUAUCUUCGGAGAAGCUCAGAACCGAAGCCCCGGUAAACGGCGGCCGUAACUAUAACGGUCCUAAGGUAGCGAA